UGACGGAGGCGCGGCGUACAGCUCAGUAACACGUGGCUAACCUGCCCUCGGGACGGGAAUACCCCCGGGAAACUGGGGCUAAUCCCCGAUAGGUGAAGAACUCCGGAAUGAUUCUCCGCCCAAAAGACGCUUAAAUCAUGCUUUUAGGCGCCGCCCAAGGAUGGGGCCGCGACCGAUCAGGUAGUUGGUGAGGCAACGGCUCACCAAGCCUUUAACCGGUGCGGGCCGUGGGAGCGGAAGCCCGGAGAUGGGCACUGAGACAAGGGCCCAGGCCCUACGGGGCGCACCAGUCGCGAAAACUUUGCAAUACACGAAAGUGUGACAGGGCUAUCCCGAGUGCCAUCCGCUGAGGAAGGCUUUUACCCAGUAUAGAAAGCUGGGAGAAUAAGGAGAGGGCAAGCCUGGUGUCAGCCGCCGUGGUAAUACCAGCUCUCCGAGUGGUGUGGAUGUUUAUUGGGCCUAAAGCAUCCGUACCUGGCCAAGUUAGUCCCCUCGUUAAUCCACCGAAUUAAUCGUUGGAGUGCGGGGGAUACUGCUC
rnacentral:rRNA from 1 species